AACAGCUGUUUGGGUUGAGGGAUACAGAAGUGGCCGUGAAACAGAUCAAAGCUAGUUGGCCUUCAGGCUGGGAUAGACAAUUGUGUGUACCACACCAACAGGGACCAUGGAAUGGAUUGAUAAAUAGAACCUCCAGACCAUAUACAGAAGCCAAAGAUUUUCCCAGGCCCCGGAAAAGGAGUCAUGCUGUUCCGUAGCUACAGCAGCUCUUGAAGAGGAUCCAUCCAGCUCUGAAGCCUAUCAGUAGAGUAAUUCUUGUCCUACACCUUAAGAAUGUGCUGGGCCAGAGAAGGAUAUGGGUUCUAAUUAUGAGGACUCUCCAUUGAUGGCACUACAUCUCC